CCGGCGACCGGCGCACGGGUGAGUAACACGUAUGCAACCUGGCCGUCACAGGUGGAUAACCGGAAGAAAUUCCGACUAAUACAGCAUAACACUCCUGAGGGGACAUCCCUUGGGAGUCAAAGGAGGCAACUCCGGUGACGGAUGGGCAUGCGGCGCAUUAGGUAGUUGGUAGGGUAACGGCCUACCAAGCCGACGAUGCGUAGGGGUUCUGAGAGGAAGGUCCCCCACAUUGGAACUGAGACACGGUCCAAACUCCUACGGAAGGCAGCAG
rnacentral:rRNA from 1 species